CAGGAGGUGACAUCCCAGUUAGGUGACGCUGCCCACGGGCAGACACCUUGCCCAGGUGCUCACCCCAGCACCCCAGCAGAGCCUUGUGGGAACACAGACUCAUGGAGAAGAGGCUGCUGAGGAGGAGGACAGCCUGGAAAGCUGCCGUGUGCAAAGCCCCGCCUGGCCUCCCUUUCCCUCAGUGGCAAGGCCAGUUCCUCUCCCCAGGGGAGGGACAGCAGGCCUCCUGUUUCUGGAAGGCUCUUUGUCUUCCCUCUAAUUCCGGAAGUAAAAAGCACAUUUUCUCACCAAUGAGGAUGCUAGCUGUGCCAGACCCCCAAUCUCCUGCUAAUCAGGGAAAACACACAAAACUUUGGUUCACACAUUCAGGGGGCAAAGAUAAGAAUCACAAGUGAGGGACAGCAUGAGCACUCACUAGGUUUGAACUUUGUCAGGCCCUUCAAUGAGUACAUGUGAGCAGUCCUCUAGGAGUAGGGGACAUUUCCACCUUCCAGAUCCAGAAACUAAGGCAGUCCCUGUGGGCAGGGUGAAUGAAACAGGUUUCCCAGGGUCACUCUACUCAGAUCUGGACAGGACUGGCUUUCAGGGUCACAGUCCUCCUCCUCCUCUGCCAGUCUAUCUGGUCCAAAGGACCUCUCAUGGCUUCCCUUUCUCUUCAUCUAGCCUGUCAGGCCCCUCCUCUGCAGCGUCCUCUGCCUUCUCCAUCCUGUCUUCCUCUCCCUCCAUUCCUCCCCUCUUCCGUUUCCAUGGCAACCCCAUCCUCUGCUCUGCCACUCGGUCCUGCGUUCCCAUCUCAUCUCUUCCUCUCCUCUUUCAUCUCUCCCGUCCUCGCAGUGUAGAGUCCAGAGCGCCCCCCUGUCCUUUGCUGCUGGCCCUUGGCCCCUUUUACCCUCCUUUCAUCUCCCCCAAUGUCCUCCUGUCAUCUCAGAGUGACAUUUAUCUGUCUCUUGCUUAAAAAGAAAAAGAAAGAGGGAAAAGGGAAAAGAAACCCUAGUCUGUUUGGCCUGACUCUUCCAGUUCGGUCCUAGCCUCCCUUCUGAAGAGCCAAAGGGUCAAAGCCCCAGGACAGCAAGGAGGAAGGACACCUCCCCCAAGGGACCCUCUGCCUGCUAGAGGGUUCCCUCUUUGACACACAGUUGGGGGUGGGGCUUGCUGGGAGAGGCAUCCUGGAGUAGCCUGAGGUACCCUCAGGACAGAGCAAGGCCCAGACAGGCCCAGAAUCCCCCACGAUGCUGCCCAAGCUGGAACUCACUGGUCUUCGGGAGACCCAACCCACCGUACCCAGCCUGAGGCCCCUCUCCCAGGUACACCUGGCCUUCAGAACUGGUGCACGCCUUUAAUCCCAGCACUUGGGAGGCAGAGGCAGCCAGCCAGCCUGGGAUACACAGAGAAACCUUGUCUUGAAAAACAAACAACAGCUAAAGAACUGGAUCCUCAAUGGACCCAGAGGUCUUCUGCACAAACAGACUCCACUUCUCCCUGCACUCCAGGACACAGCAGUCCCAGCCCAGGCUCCCCCAGGCCACUACACUGCUGUGUUUAAUCUAAGCGAUCUGAAACAAAGGCCCAGGAAUGGAUUUACCUCAGAAAAGAAAGCAAGCCGAUUAUGCUGGUGAACCUGGAGUCUCCGAGCAACACAGGAUCACUAGUGAAUAAAUAAUAAAAGUUGGCUUUAUCUUCCUCUCCGAGGCUCAGGGAACACUGUAGAAUGUCAGGGCAGAGAGGAGUACAGGAAGAGCCGUCCUCUGGACAGGACAUGGCCACUGUCCUCAUGAAGUCACUACAGCGAUGGCCACCUGCGCAAGGUCAAGCUGGCAAGGCUUAGUCAGCAUUACAGCAGGCGGCUCUAAUUCACGGAGUGUGUUUCCAAACAUAAACAAAGCCAACGAACUCCAAGAAGAGGACAGGAGGGCGGGAGCGGGGCCUGUUAGGGGAUGUCUGAGGGGAGUCAGGGAUGAAUGUGAUCAAGGUGUAUGUGCAUAUGAAAUGGUAAAGAAUUGUAAAAAACUGGAAAGAAAAAGAUAUCCCUUUAAGUCUGUUUCAUUUUUUUUUAAUUGUUCUUAAAGGUUAUGGAUGAAGCUGGGCAUGGGGACUCCCACCACACUCUCAGCACUCAGAAGGUUGGUGCAGGGUUGCCAUUCAUAUGCAGUCAGCCUGGGCUACCGAGACCUUGUCUCAAAAUAGCAAA